rnacentral:hammerhead_ribozyme from 1 species
AUCCAAGUGACGAGUCCAAAAUAAGACGAAAGGGGCGUCCUGGAU